UACGUAGGGUACAAGCAUUAAUCGGAAUUAUUGGGCGUAAAGGGCGCGUAGGCGGGAAUAUAAGUCAGGUGUGAAAUACCAAAGCUCAACUUUGGUGCUGCACUUGAAACUGUAUUUCUUGAGGAUUGACGGAGAAAGCGGAAUUCCACGAGUAGCGGUGAAAUGCGUAGAUACGUGGAGGAACACCGGUGGCGAAAGCGGCUUUCUAGUUUUUACCUGACGCUGAGGCGCGAGAGCAAGGGGAGCAAACAGG
rnacentral:rRNA from 1 species